rnacentral:sRNA from 25 species
ACUUUGGAGAGCCAUACAAAUCGUAGUAGCUUAUUAGGCAAGGCGAGGCUUUAUGAAGAAGGAA